GGUUAAGCGACUAAGCGUACACGGUGGAUGCCCUGGCAGUCAGAGGCGAUGAAGGACGUGCUAAUCUGCGAUAAGCGUCGGUAAGGUGAUAUGAACCGUUAUAACCGGCGAUUUCCGAAUGGGGAAACCCAGUGUGUUUCGACACACUAUCAUUAACUGAAUCCAUAGGUUAAUGAGGCGAACCGGGGGAACUGAAACAUCUAAGUACCCCGAGGAAAAGAAAUCAACCGAGAUUCCCCCAGUAGCGGCGAGCGAACGGGGAGCAGCCCAGAGCCUGAAUCAGUGUGUGUGUUAGUGGAAGCGUCUGGAAAGGCGCGCGAUACAGGGUGACAGCCCCGUACACAAAAAUGCACAUGCUGUGAGCUCGAUGAGUAGGGCGGGACACGUGGUAUCCUGUCUGAAUAUGGGGGGACCAUCCUCCAAGGCUAAAUACUCCUGACUGACCGAUAGUGAACCAGUACCGUGAGGGAAAGGCGAAAAGAACCCCGGCGAGGGGAGUGAAAAAGAACCUGAAACCGUGUACGUACAAGCAGUGGGAGCACGCUUAGGCGUGUGACUGCGUACCUUUUGUAUAAUGGGUCAGCGACUUAUAUUCUGUAGCAAGGUUAACCGAAUAGGGGAGCCGAAGGGAAACCGAGUCUUAACUGGGCGUUAAGUUGCAGGGUAUAGACCCGAAACCCGGUGAUCUAGCCAUGGGCAGGUUGAAGGUUGGGUAACACUAACUGGAGGACCGAACCGACUAAUGUUGAAAAAUUAGCGGAUGACUUGUGGCUGGGGGUGAAAGGCCAAUCAAACCGGGAGAUAGCUGGUUCUCCCCGAAAGCUAUUUAGGUAGCGCCUCGUGAAUUCAUCUCCGGGGGUAGAGCACUGUUUCGGCAAGGGGGUCAUCCCGACUUACCAACCCGAUGCAAACUGCGAAUACCGGAGAAUGUUAUCACGGGAGACACACGGCGGGUGCUAACGUCCGUCGUGAAGAGGGAAACAACCCAGACCGCCAGCUAAGGUCCCAAAGUCAUGGUUAAGUGGGAAACGAUGUGGGAAGGCCCAGACAGCCAGGAUGUUGGCUUAGAAGCAGCCAUCAUUUAAAGAAAGCGUAAUAGCUCACUGGUCGAGUCGGCCUGCGCGGAAGAUGUAACGGGGCUAAACCAUGCACCGAAGCUGCGGCAGCGACACUAUGUGUUGUUGGGUAGGGGAGCGUUCUGUAAGCCUGUGAAGGUGUACUGUGAGGUAUGCUGGAGGUAUCAGAAGUGCGAAUGCUGACAUAAGUAACGAUAAAGCGGGUGAAAAGCCCGCUCGCCGGAAGACCAAGGGUUCCUGUCCAACGUUAAUCGGGGCAGGGUGAGUCGACCCCUAAGGCGAGGCCGAAAGGCGUAGUCGAUGGGAAACAGGUUAAUAUUCCUGUACUUGGUGUUACUGCGAAGGGGGGACGGAGAAGGCUAUGUUGGCCGGGCGACGGUUGUCCCGGUUUAAGCGUGUAGGCUGGUUUUCCAGGCAAAUCCGGAAAAUCAAGGCUGAGGCGUGAUGACGAGGCACUACGGUGCUGAAGCAACAAAUGCCCUGCUUCCAGGAAAAGCCUCUAAGCAUCAGGUAACAUCAAAUCGUACCCCAAACCGACACAGGUGGUCAGGUAGAGAAUACCAAGGCGCUUGAGAGAACUCGGGUGAAGGAACUAGGCAAAAUGGUGCCGUAACUUCGGGAGAAGGCACGCUGAUAUGUAGGUGAAGUCCCUCGCGGAUGGAGCUGAAAUCAGUCGAAGAUACCAGCUGGCUGCAACUGUUUAUUAAAAACACAGCACUGUGCAAACACGAAAGUGGACGUAUACGGUGUGACGCCUGCCCGGUGCCGGAAGGUUAAUUGAUGGGGUCAGCGCAAGCGAAGCUCUUGAUCGAAGCCCCGGUAAACGGCGGCCGUAACUAUAACGGUCCUAAGGUAGCGAAAUUCCUUGUCGGGUAAGUUCCGACCUGCACGAAUGGCGUAAUGAUGGCCAGGCUGUCUCCACCCGAGACUCAGUGAAAUUGAACUCGCUGUGAAGAUGCAGUGUACCCGCGGCAAGACGGAAAGACCCCGUGAACCUUUACUAUAGCUUGACACUGAACAUUGAGCCUUGAUGUGUAGGAUAGGUGGGAGGCUUUGAAGUGUGGACGCCAGUCUGCAUGGAGCCGACCUUGAAAUACCACCCUUUAAUGUUUGAUGUUCUAACGUUGACCCGUAAUCCGGGUUGCGGACAGUGUCUGGUGGGUAGUUUGACUGGGGCGGUCUCCUCCUAAAGAGUAACGGAGGAGCACGAAGGUUGGCUAAUCCUGGUCGGACAUCAGGAGGUUAGUGCAAUGGCAUAAGCCAGCUUGACUGCGAGCGUGACGGCGCGAGCAGGUGCGAAAGCAGGUCAUAGUGAUCCGGUGGUUCUGAAUGGAAGGGCCAUCGCUCAACGGAUAAAAGGUACUCCGGGGAUAACAGGCUGAUACCGCCCAAGAGUUCAUAUCGACGGCGGUGUUUGGCACCUCGAUGUCGGCUCAUCACAUCCUGGGGCUGAAGUAGGUCCCAAGGGUAUGGCUGUUCGCCAUUUAAAGUGGUACGCGAGCUGGGUUUAGAACGUCGUGAGACAGUUCGGUCCCUAUCUGCCGUGGGCGCUGGAGAACUGAGGGGGGCUGCUCCUAGUACGAGAGGACCGGAGUGGACGCAUCACUGGUGUUCGGGUUGUCAUGCCAAUGGCACUGCCCGGUAGCUAAAUGCGGAAGAGAUAAGUGCUGAAAGCAUCUAAGCACGAAACUUGCCCCGAGAUGAGUUCUCCCUGACUCCUUGAGAGUCCUGAAGGAACGUUGAAGACGACGACGUUGAUAGGCCGGGUGUGUAAGCGCAGCGAUGCGUUGAGCUAACCGGUACUAAUGAACCGUGAGGCUUAACCUU
rnacentral:rRNA from 1 species